GGGGGUGUAGCUCAGCUGGGAGAGCACCGCCCUUGCAAGGCGGGGGUCAAGAGUUCGAAUCUCUUCAUCUCCA
rnacentral:tRNA from 1 species